UCUCUCUGAAUCUGCGAACGGCUCCGCAUACCAGUUGUAAACCAUAGCGAGCUAACCUUGGGAAGACCCGAUCAAAAGGGACGACCCUUGGUUGGACAUGGAUACCCGUGGUAAUUCUGAGGCUAAUACAAGGACAUAUGACCUGGCUAACCGGGCAACUGGAAGGCUGGGGGUUGUGUGAAGCUUUACUGCAACACCGACCUAUGAGAUGAUGCACAAUCAGACCACCAUACCAAACGGUCUCGUUCCGCGGUCAGUACCCUCGGGGAAAGCCAAGGUGCUUGACUGGGUGGCUCUCGCUUCGUGCUUCUGACCUAUCAACUAGAUGGCAGCGUAACGGACAUGCUAUGGUUACAACGGGUACAGAGGAUAAGGGUUCGAUCCUGGAGAGUGGGCCUGAGAGAUU
rnacentral:rRNA from 1 species